ensembl:lncRNA
CCGCAUACCCCCCGCGGAGAGGUGUACGUUACGGUGCUACGGAGGCCUUACUGGUCCUAACGGCUGCUCGGGAAGGGUGAGGGAUGUAUCCUUGUCUGCUCCUGGCUUUUACCCUCUAAUUCAGGGCUAUGCUGGGUCCUGAGAAGCCUUAAAGCCAGGCCAGCACCUCAAGCUCCGGUUCCUGUGUGCUGCUCAGCCCAGACCUGCAACCGUCAGGUCACUUCAGGUUCCUGCAUUGCAGAAGUGCCAGCUUGGUAUUUUAUACAGCAGGCAGCAGGUUGAUGUGGGUGCAGAUUGGAGCUGAAAUCCUAAUACAUACAAAAUACAGCCCUUCUUCUCUUCCCAGCUAAAUAACAAAGUACAGGUAAAUAACAAUAAAGGUAAAUAACAGGUAAAUAAAGGUAAAUAACAAAGUACACUGAAAUGUGUACUGAAUUCCUGACUUUUUGGUCAUUGCAGCUUAACUCUUAGCAGUGCUCCUUUCUCAGUUUCCAGUAUGACUUCUCCAGAAGAGCCUACAAAUUGCUGUGGGGCUUGUUAAGGACUUUAAUGAGCUGCUGAGGAAGACAGCGGGGAUUUGUGUGCAAGGUCAGUGGUUGCAAUCCACCACAGCCUUUGCCACAACCAGCUAAUGGCUGCUAAAUGGUCAGUAUGAAAUCAGUUUAGUAGAUUUCAAGACAGACAGCAGUUGAUAAAUGCCUAAAAAUCACUUCUCCAAUUGGCUUCCUUGUAGGCAGUCACAGCAAGUUAGUCAAGGUCUGAAGAGGCCAUGCAAAUUCAGCAGUUCCUGGAGGUUAAGAGCACAGACAAGAUUGCUCGUGAAUACUUUCACCCUGUUGUGAAUGCCAAAAGUCUUCAGAGGAGGUCACUGCACAGCACUGCAGAUGCAAAGAUGAAGCUUCAGGAAAGGAAACCACUCAGAUGUCGAUAAGUGAUGUGCCAGAUCAGGUUUGACAAAGACAGCUCCUGGCCUUCCUGGGGCUGCUGAUGUUCAUUAGCAUUGUGAGAUACCUCUGAGCACACUGAGGUGGAGCUGCUGAAGAUCCUGCAAGGCAGUGCGUCACCAGUUUCAGCUGAACAAGGCUAAUACUCAGCCACUCAUUCCUAAUCUGCACAGUGACUCAUCCGCUCCCAGCUCUGAUGUUUGUUUUUUUACCAUACUUCUCCCUACCCUUUAUGGCGAUUCAAUUUUCUGCCUCUUUAUCAUCCUCUUUCAUCACAUAUAUAUGGCAGAACACACCUGGAAACAAGACCUGCAGCACAGGCAGCUGAUCUAGGAAAGCAGGGUCGCAAUGGGUUCUUGAGUGAGAGUGAGCCGAUGACUGAAUGUGAACACCUGCUGUAAAGCAAUGGCUAAUGGUCUAGGGCAAGCAUUAAGUGUGUAAGCAAAGAAGUGCCUCUGCAGGUGAAAUUCAGUUUACUGAAUCUAGACCUAAUUUUCCACGUUGGCAACCUGAUGAUGAAAAAUCAGGGGGGGUGCAGGCAGGACAUCCAGAAGUGACUUGACACAUUGAGAAAACACAGUGUAAUUGAAAUUCAUAAAAAGCUCUGUUUAGUUCAUCAUGAGCAAAAGGUGACUUAACUUGGAUGUAUGAAUACAUUUAUAAGCAUAAGAUAGUUAGUGUUAAAAGGCUCUUUAAUCCAGUGCAGAAAGGCUCAGCAAGACUCAAUGGCUGCAAGCUGAAGCCAGACAAAUUCAAAUGAGCAAUUAGGCAUACAUUUGAUAAUGGGGAACAAUUAACCACUGUAACAAACUACCAAGGGAAUCUUCAUCAGAAGAUCCCUUCAGUUCCCAGACCAGAUGCCUGGACAGUCUAGCCAGGAACAAAAAACUGAAGUACCAAGUCUGAAUUCAACGGUCUGUGACCUACAGGAGCUUAGAGAGUUUGAGCUAAUGAUGCUUUCUGUUUUUGGUUAAGGACCUAGGGAUCUUCCUCUUUCCUAGUUU